UACAGAGGUCUCGAGCGUUUGUUCGGAUUCAUUGGGCGUAAAGGGUGCGUAGGUGGCGGGGCAAGUCAGGUGUGAAAUCCCGGGGCUCAACCCCGGAACUGCAUUUGAUACUGCCUUGCUCGAGUACUGGAGAGGAGACUGGAAUUUACGGUGUAGCAGUGAAAUGCGUAGAUAUCGUAAGGAAGACCAGUGGCGAAGGCGAGUCUCUGGACAGUUACUGACACUGAGGCACGAAGGCCAGGGGAGCAAACGGG
rnacentral:rRNA from 1 species